CAAUAGCAUAUAUUAACGUUGUUGCAGUUGAAAAGCUCGUAGUUGAACUUUUGGUAGGAGCGACCUGGCCUUGGGCGCAUGCCCUUGUUUGCCGUGUGUCGUAUCUGGCCAUCCUUUUCCGCUUCGGCGGGAAUCUUUUACUGUGAGUAAACUGGAGUGCUCAAAACAAGACGUUUGUUUGGUACAUUAAAGCAUGGAAUAAUAAGAUAGGACCUGGUUGCUAUUUUGUUGGUUUGCAUAGCUAGGUAAUGAUUAACAGGGACAGUUGGGGGUAUUCGUAUUUAAUUGUCAGAGGUGAAAUUCUUGGAUUUAUGAAAGACGAACGACUGCGAAAGCAUUUACCAAGGAUGUUUUCAUUAA
rnacentral:rRNA from 1 species